rnacentral:rRNA from 1 species
UACAUGGGGGUGCAAACGUUGCUCGGAAUUAUUUGGGCGUAAAGCUGCACGUAGGGCGGUUUCGUUAAGUCGGAUGUGAAAGCCCUCCGGCUCAACUGAGGGAAGUGGCACCCGAAACUGGCGAGCUUGAGUACGAAAGAGGAUCGCGGAAAUUCCCGGUGUAGAGGUGAAAUUCGUAGAUAGUCGGGAGGAACACCGGUGGCGAAGGCGGCGAUCUGGGGUCGAGUACUGAACGGCUGAGGUGGCGAAAGCGUGGGGAGCCAAACAGG